ACAUGCAAGUCGAGCGAAUCGACGGGAGCUUGCUCCCUGAGAUUAGCGGCGGACGGGUGAGUAACACGUGGGCAACCUGCCUAUAAGACUGGGAUAACUUCGGGAAACCGGAGCUAAUACCGGAUACGUUCUUUUCUCGCAUGAGAGAAGAUGGAAAGACGGUUUACGCUGUCACUUAUAGAUGGGCCCGCGGCGCAUUAGCUAGUUGGUGAGGUAAUGGCUCACCAAGGCGACGAUGCGUAGCCGACCUGAGAGGGUGAUCGGCCACACUGGGACUGAGACACGGCCCAGACUCCUACGGGAGGCAGCAGUAGGGAAUCUUCCGCAAUGGACGAAAGUCUGACGGAGCAACGCCGCGUGAACGAAGAAGGCCUUCGGGUCGUAAAGUUCUGUUGUUAGGGAAGAACAAGUACCAGAGUAACUGCUGGNACCUUGACGGUACCUAACCAGAAAGCCACGGCUAACUACGUGCCAGCAGCCGCGGUAAUACGUAGGUGGNAAGCGUUGUCCGGAAUUAUUGGGCGUAAAGCGCGCGCAGGUGGUUCCUUAAGUCUGAUGUGAAAGCCCACGGCUCAACCGUGGAGGGUCAUUGGAAACUGGGGAACUUGAGUGCAGAAGAGGAAAGUGGAAUUCCAAGUGUAGCGGUGAAAUGCGUAGAGAUUUGGAGGAACACCAGUGGCGAAGGCGACUUUCUGGUCUGUAACUGACACUGAGGCGCGAAAGCGUGGGGAGCAAACAGGAUUAGAUACCCUG
rnacentral:rRNA from 1 species